rnacentral:rRNA from 1 species
UACAGAGGUCUCAAGCGUUGCUCGGAUUCAUUGGGCGUAAAGGGUGUGUAGGUGGCGCCGUAAGUCGGGUGUGAAAUUUCGGAGCUUAACUCCGAAACUGCAUUCGAUACUGCGGUGCUUGAGGACUGGAGAGGAGACUGGAAUUCAUGGUGUAGCAGUGAAAUGCGUAGAGAUCAUGAGGAAGACCAGUGGCGAAGGCGGGUCUCUGGACAGUUCCUGACACUGAGACACGAAAGCCAGGGGAGCAAACGGG